rnacentral:rRNA from 1 species
ACACUGGUGCGCGAGAUGAGUAUUCUAAGGCGCUUGAGAGAACUCAGGAGAAGGAACUCGGCAAAUUGACACCGUAACUUCGGAAGAAGGUGUGCCUUUAGUAGGUGAAGGGAUUUACUCCUGGAGCCCAAUGAGGUUGCAAAAAAUCGGUGGCUGCGACUGUUUAUUAAAAACACAGCACUCUGCAAACACGAAAGUGGACGUAUAGGGUGUGACGCCUGCCCGGUGCUGGAAGAUUAAAUGAUGGGGUGCAAGCUCUUGAUUGAAGUCCCAGUAAACGGCGGCCGUAACAAUAACGGUCCUAAGGUGGCGAAAUUCCUUGUCGGGUAAGUUCCGACCUGCACGAAUGGCGUAACGAUGGCCACACUGUCUCCUCCUGAGACUCAGCGAAGUUGAAAUGUUUGUGAUGAUGCAAUCUCCCCGCGGAAAGACGGAAAGACCCCAUGAACCUUUACUGUAGCUUUGUAUUGGACUUUGAACAGAUCUGUGUAGGAUAGGUGGGAGGCUUUGAAGUAGGGUCGCUAGAUCUUAUGGAGCCAACGUUGAAAUACCACCCUGGUGUGUUUGAGGUUCUAACCUAGGUCCAUUAUCUGGAUCGGGGACAGUGCAUGGUAGGCAGUUUGACUGGGGCGGUCUCCUCCCAAAGCGUAACGGAGGAGUUCGAAGGUACGCUAGUUACGGUCGGACAUCGUGACGAUAGUGCAAUGGCAUAAGCGUGCUUAACUGCGAGACUGACAAGUCGAGCAGAUGCGAAAGCAGGACAUAGUGAUCCGGUGGUUCUGUAUGGAAGGGCCAUCGCUCAACGGAUAAAAGGUACUCUGGGGAUAACAGGCUGAUACCGCCCAAGAGUUCAUAUCGACGGCGGUGUUUGGCACCUCGAUGUCGGCUCAUCUCAUCCUGGGGCUGUAGCCGGUCCCAAGGGUAUGGCUGUUCGCCAUUUAAAGAGGUACGUGAGCUGGGUUUAAAACGUCGUGAGACAGUUUGGUCCCUAUCUUCCGUGGGCGCUGCAGAUUUGAGGAAGCCUGCUCCUAGUACGAGAGGACCGGAGUGGACACACCUCUGGUGUAUCGGUUGUCACGCCAGUGGCAUUGCCGAGUAGCUAAGUGUGGAAGAGAUAACCGCUGAAAGCAUCUAAGCGGGAAACUCGUUUCAAGAUGAGAUCUGCCGGGGCCUUGAGCCCCCUAAAGAGUCGUUCAAGACCAGGACGUUGAUAGGUCAGGUGUGGAAGCGCAGUAAUGCGUUAAGCUAACUGAUACUAAUUGCUCGUGCGGCUUGACCA